GACGAACGCUGGCGGCGUGCUUAACACAUGCAAGUCGAACGGAAAGGCCCCUUUGGGGGUACUCGAGUGGCGAACGGGUGAGUAACACGUGAGUAACCUGCCCUUGACUUCGGGAUAACUUCAGGAAACUGGGGCUAAUACCGGAUAGGAAUCCUUGCUGCAUGGUGGGGGUUGGAAAGCUUCGGCGGUUUUGGAUGGACUCGCGGCUUAUCAGCUUGUUGGUGGGGUAGUGGCUUACCAAGGCUUUGACGGGUAGCCGGCCUGAGAGGGCGACCGGCCACAUUGGGACUGAGAUGCGGCCCAGAUUCCUAAGGGAGGCAGAAGUGGGGAAUAUUGCACAAUGGGCGGAGGCCUGAUGCAGCAACGCCGCGUGCGGGAUGACGGCCUUCGGGUUGUAAACCGCUUUCAGCAGGGGCGAAGCUUGUGGUGACGGUACCUGCAGAAGAAGCACCGGCUAACUACGUG
rnacentral:rRNA from 1 species